rnacentral:rRNA from 1 species
UGCCAUCCGCCGCGGUAAUACGAACUGUGCGAACGUUAUUCGGAAUCACUGGGCUUAAAGGGUGCGUAGGCGGCUGUAAGGGUCAGAUGUGAAAUCCCACGGCUCAACCGUGGAACUGCGUUUGAAACCGUACAGCUUGAGGAAGUCAGAGGUAAGCGGAACUGAUGGUGGAGCGGUGAAAUGCGUUGAUAUCAUCAGGAACACCGGUGGCGAAAGCGGCUUACUGGGACUUUUCUGACGCUGAGGCACGAAAGCCAGGGGAGCGAACGGGAUUAGAUA